AGCCAUAUACGUUUACUCACAAAUCCUUCGGGCUUUAACCCUUUAAGUGAAAAUGCACCUUAAAGGGUUAAAGCCCAAAGGAUUUGAGAGUAAAAGUA